rnacentral:rRNA from 1 species
UACGUAGGGCGCAAGCGUUGUCCGGAAUUAUUGGGCGUAAAGAGCUCGUAGGCGGCUUGUCACGUCGGGUGUGAAAGCCCGGGGCUUAACCCCGGGUCUGCAUUCGAUACGGGCUAGCUAGAGUGUGGUAGGGGAGACUGGAAUUCCUGGUGUAGCGGUGAAAUGCGCAGAUAUCAGGAGGAACACCGGUGGCGAAGGCGGGUCUCUGGGCAACAACUGACGCUGAGGGACGAAAGCUAGGGGAGCGAACAGG